rnacentral:tRNA from 1 species
GGCGGAUUGGCGAAAUUGGUAAACGCAUCGGACUUAAAAUCCGACGAAUAGUAAUAUUCUUGCAAGUUCAACUCUUGUAUCCGCUA